CCUACGUGAGGCAGCAGUGAGGAAUAUUGGUCAAUGGGCGCGAGCCUGAACGAGCCAAGUCGCGUGAGGGAAGACGGUCCUAUGGAUUGUAAACCUCUUUUGUCGGGGAGCAAAAGAGGCCACGCGUGUCCUUCCGAGAGUACCCGACGAAAAAGCAUCGGCUAACUCAGUGCCAGCAGCCGCGGUAAUACGGAGGAUGCGAGCGUUAUCCGGAUUGAUUGGGUUAAAAGGGUGCGAAGGCGGAAGAUCAAGUCAGCGGUAAAAGUGAGAGGCUCAACCUCUUCGAGCCGUUGAAACUGGUUUUCUUGAGUGAGCGAGAGGUAUGCGGAAUGCGUGGUGUAGCGGUGAAAUGCAUAGAUAUCACGCAGAACUCCGAUUGCGAAGGCAGCAUACCGGCGCUCAACUGACGCUCAUGCACGAAAGUGUGGGUAUCGAACAGGAUUAGAUACCCUGGUAGUC
rnacentral:rRNA from 1 species